rnacentral:rRNA from 1 species
UACGUAGGGCGCAAGCGUUGUCCGGAAUUAUUGGGCGUAAAGAGCUCGUAGGCGGUUUGUCGCGUCUGCUGUGAAAACCCGAGGCUCAACCUCGGGCCUGCAGUGGGUACGGGCAGACUAGAGUGUGGUAGGGGAGACUGGAAUUCCUGGUGUAGCGGUGGAAUGCGCAGAUAUCAGGAGGAACACCAAUGGGCGAAGGCAGGUCUCCUGGGC